rnacentral:tRNA from 1 species
GCCCCGGUAGCUCAGAUGGAUAGAGCGUCCCCCUCCUAAGGGGAAGGUCUCAGGUUCGAAUCCUGAUCGGGGCA